AUUGAACGCUGGCGGCAUGCUUUACACAUGCAAGUCGAACGGUAACAGGGUGCUUGCACCGCUGACGAGUGGCGAACGGGUGAGUAAUGCGUCGGAACGUGCCGAGUAGUGGGGGAUAACGCAGCGAAAGUUGUCCUAAAACCGCAUACGUACCGAGGUAGAAAGUGGGGGACCUUCGGGCCUCACGCUAUUCGAGCCGCCGACGUCUGAUUAACUAGUAGGUGAGGUAAAGGCUCACCUAGGCGACGAUCAGUAGCGGGUCUGAGAGGAUGAUCAGCCACACGGGGACUGAGACACGGCCCAGACUCCUACGGGAGGCAGCAGUGGGGAGUUUUGGACAAUGGGCGAAAGCCUGAUCCAGCCAUGCCGCGUGUCCGAAGAAGGCCUUCGGGUUGUAAAGGACUUUUGUCAGGGAGGAAAUCCCUAGUGCUAAUAACACUGGGGGAUGACAGUACCUGAAGAAUAAGCACCGGCUAACUACGUGCCAGCCGCCGCGGUAACAC
rnacentral:rRNA from 1 species